ACCUGGGCUACACACGUGCUACAAUGGGCGGUACAAAGGGUCGCGAACCCGCAGGGGGAGCCAAUCCCAAAAAGCCGCUACUCAGUUCGGAUUGCAGGCUGCAACUCGCCUGCAUGAAGCCGGAAUCGCUAGUAAUCGCGGAUCAGCAUGCCGCGGUGAAUACGUUCCCGGGCCUU
rnacentral:rRNA from 1 species